rnacentral:rRNA from 1 species
GAUGAACGCUGGCGGCGUGCCUAAUACAUGCAAGUCGAGCGAACAGACGAUGCGCUUGCUCCUCUGACGUUUGCGGCGGACGUGUGAGAAACGCGUGUAUACCCUCCCUAUCUUACUGGUAACACUUCGGGAAACCGGAUCUAAUCCCGUAGAAGCUAUUGCACCGCGUGGUUCAUUAGUAAGAUUCGGUGUUGCGGUCUCUACUAGAUGGAUCUCCGCCGCAUUGGGUGGUUGGGAAGUUAACGGCCUACCAAGGCAACGAUGCGUAGCCGAACUGCGAGGGGGAUCGGCGACACUGGAACGGAGCCACGGACAAGACUCCUACGGGACGCAGCAGUAGGGAAUGGGCCGCAGUGGGCGAAAGCAUGACGGAGCAACGGCGCGUGAGUGAUGAAGGUCUUCGGAUCGUAAAACUCUGUUAUUAGGGAAGAACAAAUGUGUAAGUAACUGUGCCGGUCUUGACGGUACCUAAUAAGAAAGCAACGGCUAACUACGUG